rnacentral:rRNA from 1 species
UACAUGGGGUGCAAACGUUGCUCGGAAUCAUUGGGCGUAAAGCGCGCGUAGGCGGUUACACAAGUUGGAUGUGAAAGCCCUCGGCUUAACUGAGGAAGUGCAUCCAAAACUGUGCAGCUAGAGUACUAAAGAGGGUCGCGGAAUUCCCGGUGUAGAGGUGAAAUGCGUAGAUAUCGGAAGGAACACCGGUGGCGAAAGCGGCGCGCUGGACCCCUUCUGACGCUGAGGCGCGAAAGCCAGGGGAGCAAACGGG